rnacentral:rRNA from 1 species
AGGGUUUGAUCAUGGCUCAGGACGAACGCUGGCGGCGUGCCUAAUACAUGCAAGUCGAGCGCAGGAAACCAGAUAACCCCUUCGGGGGUGAUUCUGGCGGAAUGAGCGGCGGACGGGUGAGUAACACGUGGGCAACCUGCCUGUAAGACUGGGAUAACUUCGGGAAACCGGAGCUAAUACCGGAUAGUAUUUCCUUUCUCCUGAUUGGAAAUGGAAAGACGGUUUCGGCUGUCACUUACAGAUGGGCCCGCGGUGCAUUAGCUAGUUGGUGGGGUAAUGGCCCACCAAGGCGACGAUGCAUAGCCGACCUGAGAGGGUGAUCGGCCACACUGGGACUGAGACACGGCCCAGACUCCUACGGGAGGCAGCAGUAGGGAAUCUUCCGCAAUGGACGAAAGUCUGACGGNGCAACGCCGCGUGAGCGAUGAAGGCCUUCGGGUCGUAAAGCUCUGUUGUUAGGGAAGAACAAGUACGAGAGUAACUGCUCGUACCUUGACGGUACCUAACCAGAAAGCCCCGGCUAACUACGUGCCAGCAGCCGCGGUAAUACGUAGGGGGCAAGCGUUGUCCGGAAUAUUGGGCGUAAAGGGCUCGUAGGCGGUUUCUUAAGUCUGAUGUGAAAGCCCACAGCUCAACUGUGGAGGGUCAUUGGAAACUGGGGAACUUGAGUGCAGAAGAGGAGAGUGGAAUUCCACGUGUAGCGGUGAAAU